GUAAAAGUGGCAGAAUUAGUGCAUUGGAUUUAGGCUCUAAAAAUAAAGAUAAAACUUUCUUUUACU
rnacentral:tRNA from 1 species